rnacentral:rRNA from 1 species
UUAGUUUGUUGGUGGGGUAAUGGCCUACCAAGACUGUGAUCAAUAGCUGAUUUGAGAGGAUGAUCAGCCACAUUGGGACUGAGACACGGCCCAAACUCCUACGGGAGGCAGCAGUGGGGAAUCUUGCACAAUGGAGGAAACUCUGAUGCAGCGAUGCCGCGUGAGUGAAGAAGGCCUUUGGGUUGUAAAGCUCUUUCGUCGGGGAAGAAAAUGACUGUACCCGAAUAAGAAGGUCCGGCUAACUUCGUGCCAGCAGCCGCGGUAAUACGAAGGGACCUAGCGUAGUUCGGAAUUACUGGGCUUAAAGAGUUCGUAGGUGGUUGAAAUAGUUGGUGGUGAAAUCCCAGAGCUUAACUCUGGAACUGCCAUCAAAACUUUUCAGCUAGAGUAUGAUAGAGGAAAGCAGAAUUUCUAGUGUAGAGGUGAAAUUCGUAGAUAUUAGAAAGAAUACCAAUUGCGAAGGCAGCUUUCUGGAUCAUUACUGACACUGAGGAACGAAAGCAUGGGUAGCGAAGAGGAUUAGAUACCCUCGUAGUCCAUGCCGUAAACGAUGUGUGUUAGACGUUGGAAAUUUAUUUUCAGUGUCGCAGCGAAAGCGAUAAACACACCGCCUGGGGAGUACGACCGCAAGGUUAAAACUCAAAUGAAUUGACGGGGACCCGCACAAGUAGUGGAGCAUGUGGUUUAAUUCGAAGAUACGCGCAGAACCUUACCAACACUUGACAUGUUCGUCGCGACUUUAAGAGAUUAGAGUUUUCGGUUCGGCCGGACGAAACACAGGUGCUGCAUGGCUGUCGUCAGCUCGUGUCGUGAGAUGUUGGGUUAAGUCCCGCAACGAGCGCAACCCUCACUUUUAGUUGCCAUCAUUAAGUUGGGCA